UCCUCCUAUUAAAAUGAGAUAGUAAUGCUAUGAAAGUGUUAAGUAGUUUUUUUCUUGUUCAAUUUCUGUUGUGCUGAGUAUGCAGAAAAGAGAAUGUGUUCUUCUAAGGAUUCUGGGAAGUGUUUUUAAGUGUUUUUCUAACAUAUCUAGAGAAGUCUGAAAACAUUUUAUUUACCAAGGACUAAGACUGCUUCUGAGCCUACAAGUGACAGUCACUCAUUCUGAACACGAGCCAUGAGCUCUUGGUCAUGCUUCCAGAUCCAAGGGGCACUCCAGCAGUUACCAGUCCAGCAUACCAAACUGCCCUGAAGUAGGUCCUUUGUCCCUUCCCACUCAGCUUCAGUUGCUUGCAUCUUUUGGAAGAUGCUGCCUGGGGCCCAGCAGAGCUGGAGGUGAUGGAAGCUUAAAGCAGAGGGCCAUAGGGUUUGUGCCAUCUUUCACCAGGAUGGGAACCGAGCUGUUGAAAGGAACAAGUUUUCUGAUACCCAACCUCUUGGACAUACCAAACCAAACUUGCAAAAAUGUACUGAUGAAGAACUAAAUAGUAUUGGCUGGAGAUAAAGAAAUCCCAGACUUUCCUUAUCACUAUUUUUGUAAGCAAUACUGAUGGAAAUACAGGAAGAACUGUGAUGAUCACAGAAUUGAAGUGCUGACAAUAGGUUUGUCUGUGCUAAGUGUGCUGAAUCCUGCUGGUUUGUGAAGAUCUUCAGGCCAAGUGGAGCAGUGUGACACACUCUGAAGCAAAGUGCAAGAUCUGCCAGAGAUGUUUCUCCUGCUCUGUAUAGGACGCUGGCUGAUCUGCCCUGUUGUGGAUCUUGUUGCUGAAGCUCACCUGCUUCGUUCUCUGACUUCAUCUUUUAAUCUAAAGAGGUCUUACACCUGCUGAGAAUGGUGGAUUUUUACCAUUCAUGGACAGUUGUACUACUAAAGCACUGGUGGCAUCUGCGAGCAGCCGCCCUCGAGGGGACACUUCAUGUCUGUAAUUGCAUUUUGUCACCUACAGAGGGUGUUAAGAAUCUUGUUAAAAAUAAAGGAAAUAGUUAAGAGACAUCUCACUGUAGCCAUUACUAUCGUGCAAAUUACCAGGUAGAGCAAUCCAGAAGCUGUCAGGAAAGGUUAGUAAGAAAGAGUGUCAGGAAAUCAACCAUUCAGCAAUUCAUCAUAGCCUAACACUAGCUCUAAAAUGAAAGCUUUAAAGCAGCAUUGUUUUAUGAAGUAACGGACAUUAGCUUUUUUUUUUUUCUUUUUUCUUUUUAUUUUGCAGCAGCGAAUAAAGAUAACAAGGAGAGUGGUUCUCUUACGAAAGAUAUAAAGACAUAGGGAUGAAAAAUGUAAAUGACUUUAUUGCACAAAUUUGCAAGCAAGGUAAAAAUGAGAGGAGGUUGUUAGAAUGGAGGGAGACGGUUGCUGUGUAUUAUCUCUCCUUCAUUUUAAUUUUGGAGUAUGAAUCCAAUUUUGCAACCUUUGCUCAGGUGAAGGUUAGCAGGUUUUCCAGGUCACCAAUCUGGUCUCUGAAAGCUCUGUAAGACAUCAUGAAAACAGAUACAAUUUGCUCUUCAGAAAGUUUUACGAGCGUAGUCUUGAUGCUGGUUGUAACACAGAUUACCUUUGUUAGGGGAUACUGGAAGAGCUUGUUAGCAUUUGUCUCACUAGCAGAUAAGUCAAAGGAAGAAGGAGCUAACAUUUCAGGCCCAAGUUAGCCAGUAACUGCCUUUUGAUGUUGACUAUUGAAGCUGAUGCUCCGUGGGUUACUGGAGCUGAAAUCAGUACAGUGCAAAAGCCCUUAACCAUUUCAUGCUCGAUCAAUGGCCCUAUGUAAAAAGAUUCCACACUGUAGCUGCUGUUUUGCUGGGCUUGUGGAGAUGCUGUAUGUCCACAGUGAAGUUUGAAAUUGCCAGCCUUGGACGUUGCACUGCCUUCUCAUCAAAGGAUCAAAGCAGCACCGAGGUGUUGAACAAACCAUGGCAGAGCUGUGUGAGGACUGCUGUGAUGCUGCUAUGGCACUCUGUUUUGUUUUACACAGCUAUGGGUAUGACGUACUCUCUGAGGAAAGCCCCUGCUGUUGGUUUGGUUUCUUUGCUGUUUUGUGUUUUGCUGUGAUUAUGGAAAAUAAUGGAGUCAAAAAACGUAUCAUUAUGUAUGUACUACAAAUUCCAAUUACUGAGGUGUUUAUCAGCAUCAGAGCAAAACAAAGGAGAAUGUGUUUAAUUUCAUUGUGUUGCUAAAGGGCCCAAAAAAAGAAAAUAGAUGUAAUUAAGAAGUCCCUGUAAAGCCAUUGGUUACAUGUAUAGGUGCCUUCUGGAUUCAGUCCUAG
rnacentral:lncRNA from 7 species